GAUGAACGCUGGCGGCGUGCCUAACACAUGCAAGUCGAACGGAGUCGUUUUGGAAAUCUCUUCGGAGAUGGAAUUCUCGACUUAGUGGCGGACGGGUGAGUAACGCGUGAGCAAUCUGCCUUUAAGAGGGGGAUAACAGUCGGAAACGGCUGCUAAUACCGCAUAAAGCAUUAAAUUCGCAUGUUUUUGAUGCCAAAGGAGCAAUCCGCUUUUAGAUGAGCUCGCGUCUGAUUAGCUAGUUGGCGGGGUAACGGCCCACCAAGGCGACGAUCAGUAGCCGGACUGAGAGGUUGAACGGCCACAUUGGGACUGAGACACGGCCCAGACGCCUACGGGAGGCAGCAGUGGGGAAUAUUGCGCAAUGGGGGAAACCCUGACGCAGCAACGCCGCGUGAUUGAAGAAGGCCUUCGGGUUGUAAAGAUCUUUAAUCAGGGACGAAACAAAUGACGGUACCUGAAGAAUAAGCUCCGGCUAACUACGUG
rnacentral:rRNA from 1 species